ensembl:snoRNA
UCCUCCUACAAAGGCGCACUUGCAUACGACUGCCUGCCUGUGCGUAAGAACUGGAGGAAUAUUAAAGUGAAUAGUGAUUCUUUUAUUGCUGGUUGCAUUUGCCACUGGCCCCUCGCUAUUCAUACACUG